GGCUUUCCUCAGAGACGUUAACUCGUUCGGGCUGGCGCCGCCGCCAUUUUGAAUUCGCUCGCUGGUGGUCCGGUCAGUGGUUGCGGCGGCUCCGUGACCCCCUCAGAGCGCGAGAGAGACCGAAACAUGGCAGCGAACAGCCGGAACUUGAAACAAGUGCGGAUCGAAAACAGCUCCCCGGCGGCCCCGCUCGGCAUGGUGGGGGGCGGCGGCCUGAAGGGGAUGCGGGGCCUGGAGGCGGACAGCGAGGUAGGGGCCAUGGCGCCGGGCAAAGAGGCUGGCGACGAGGAGCGGGAGGUCGGGUUCACCAUCGACAUCAAGAGCUUCCUCAAGCCCGGCGAAAAGAGCUACACGCAGCGCUGCCGCCUCUUCGUGGGGAACCUGCCCACCGACAUCACCGAGGAGGACUUCAAGCGCCUCUUCGAGCGCUACGGGGAGCCCAGCGAGGUCUUUAUCAACCGCGACCGCGGCUUUGGCUUCAUCCGCCUGGAAUCUAGAACACUGGCUGAAAUAGCAAAGACAGAACUUGAUGGUACUAUUUUGAAGAGUAGACCACUUCGAAUUCGAUUUGCUACACAUGGAGCUGCCUUAACAGUCAAGAAUCUUUCACCUGUGGUUUCCAAUGAGCUUCUGGAACAAGCUUUUUCUCAAUUUGGUCCAGUGGAGAGGGCUGUUGUUGUAGUAGAUGACCGUGGCAGAGCUACAGGAAAAGGUUUUGUAGAGUUUGCAGCAAAACCUCCGGCAAGGAAGGCUCUAGAGAGAUGCAGUGAUGGGGCAUUCUUACUAACAACAACACCUCGACCUGUUGUUGUAGAACCUAUGGAACAAUUUGAUGAUGAAGAUGGGCUACCAGAGAAAUUAAUGCAGAAAACACAACAGUAUCAUAAGGAAAGAGAGCAGCCUCCACGUUUUGCUCAACCUGGAACAUUUGAAUUUGAGUAUGCUUCCCGAUGGAAGGCUCUUGAUGAGAUGGAAAAGCAGCAGCGAGAACAGGUUGACAGGAACAUUAGAGAAGCCAAAGAGAAACUAGAAGCGGAAAUGGAAGCAGCUAGACAUGAACAUCAGUUAAUGCUGAUGAGGCAAGAUCUCAUGAGGCGCCAGGAAGAACUGAGACGUUUGGAAGAACUUAGAAAUCAAGAGUUACAGAAACGCAAGCAAAUACAAUUGAGACAUGAAGAAGAACAUCGACGUCGUGAAGAAGAGAUGCUACGCCAGAGAGAACAGGAAGAACUGAGACGACAGCAGGAAGGAGGAUUUAAACCAAAUUUCUUGGACAAUAAACAGACACUGCACAGCAGAAGUGCUCCUUGGAAUUCUACCCACCUCUGCGAUAGCACUGAUAUCAUGGUGGAAGCUGUGAUUGGUGACUUCCAGAACAACAAGAAGAAAUACGUUUAUAAAAUUGCUUUGGCAGAAAAAUUCCUCCUUCAGAGUUAUAGGUUUGGAAAAACUAAGGUAUACUCUUUUAAUUCUCCCAUUCCUAUAAUACUCGAGUUUCUGCCAGUAACAAGUAAUGUGACAUCAUUCUCAGUAAGGGAUAGACUCAGUUAAAUACGAAAUAUAAAUUGAACUGAUUACCACAUCCCAAUUAUACAAAAAUGUAGAUAAAUGGAAUGUGGCAACAGACAGCUCUCAUGGGUUUAAAAUUCCUUAUAAAUUAUUUUAAGGCAAAAGCCAUUAAGCUAGUAUUACCAGAUUUAUCAACUCUUUAAGUUUUAAAAACACCUCAUUCAAGUAAAGAAAUGGAGCCAGACUGGAUGAAUGUUCCUCACUAGAUACAUUUCUCAAGUCUUCCAAUAAAAAAGUGAGGUCAGAAUUAGGAGUAAAAGACUCCUUGCCUUUCAUUCUCCAAAACGACCUCUAUAUUUGUUACAGUUUUAGUUUAUAUAAAAUCUUGGUGGUAAUAGGGCUUUUUCUGGUCAUUUGCUGUUACAAGAUUUUAUACUGCCUUCACAAGAGAGAGAGCAGAAAUAGGACUUAAGUAGUAAUUAAGAGUAAACCUGUUAAAGGUGAGCAGGAAUAUGAAUGUAGAGUGAAGGAAGCAAUAAAGCUCAUUGAAAGAUUUGCUAUUUUAGCACCACUCAGGGAGAGACUGAUGUCACAAGAACAAACCAUGCUGUAAUCUUGAUAACAGCUUUGUUCUAUUCACUUUCCAAACAAACCAACUUAUCAAGUUAAACAAGGCUGUAUAUUUCAUUUGCUCUAACAGUUCUCUUAUGACUCAGCCUGAGAUAAACUUCUGAAUUGAAAACUCCGUGUGCCCUCACAGUAGAGAAGUUUUCAAGAUGGAUGGCAAUGCAUGCUAAAUUGUACUAGAAUCAAACAUAAGAUUGGAGAGCAUUCCUCGUUUUGCAUGAUGGCAGUAUACAGUGAAGGUUAGAAAAAGGUAGCUUUUAAGCUCUCACUUAAUUGUCAAUUCCACAUGCUGCUUCAUAUAUAUGUUUAUUUUAAACGUAUAGUUGAUGCUUUUUUGAGUAGUGUCCCUGUAUGUGCUCCACUUCAGGUGCACCUGAGCCCUAUGCCUUUGAUUGAAAAUUUUUGGUAGUAGUGCUUGUGCUGCCUGCUCAUUUAGACCCCACACAUUCUCAUGCCUGGUGCUGAGGCUAUAUGGGGCUGUGUAGGCAAACUGCCCUCAGUUCCUUCAGAGCUCCCUUUAGCGUCUACUGUGUGCCUGUUCUCUAAUAUUUAGCUUUUUCUCACUUAGUUACCUUAUAGUGAUAGUUGUUGGAACAACUGUUCCCUCAGGGAUUUUUUUCCUUAAAAAAGCCAAAUGUUUUAUUCACAGAGACAGUUAUAUAGUUUGGAGAUUUCCCCUUCCAGGGGUUACAUUUUCAUUAGUUUUUCUUGGGACAGCUGGGCUCCCAUUCAAGAGAUGCCUCUACUAUUGUGUGGCUAUUCCAAUAAGUGAUGGACAUUCUUAGUGCCUCUGCUGUCUGGAUGAUAUUCAUAUCCCCAAUAACUGCAGGAUCUGCACUUUCUUCAAAGAUAGAUUUUAAAAAAUAGAGAAAGUAUCAGCUCCUAAUGAUGGAGAAAGCUUUAGGUCCUGUGUCGGAUGUAGGAGCGGAGGAUCCACUCCUCCACCCCCCAAUACAUUGAACUCCCAGUAUAGGUAGUGCCCCGUUCAAUCAAUGUCUGAGUCACUGGAGACUGGUAGAGAGGUAGGCAGCACUGUGGCACAGAGUACAUCUAUGGUCCUUAUUUACAUCUGGCUCUAAGCAGGAGGAGGAAAGGAAUAAAUCUCACGGGCAAAUAUGGCUAUUUAAAUUACAACAAAUUAUAUUCUUUAAUGAGUGUCUGCCAGAAGAACAUCAAGAGCAAUUUAAGUCCAUUAUACAAGGGGGUCAGCUCCUGGCAUCACUCCAGGCCCCCUUGGAUGGGGCACAUAAGACAGCACAGUCUAACUCCACUGCAGUGGUUAUGAGAAGAGCAUCUUGGCUAUAGCUGUCGGGCUUUCCAAGAGAGGUUCAUAGUACUGUCAUAGACCUCCCCUUUGACAGUCGCAGUCUCUUUGCAGACUUGAUGGAUGCCUCUCUCCACAUUUUAAAAGACUCAAGAGCCACACUGUGAUCACUAGGGAUUUAAAGAUCUGUAAAUAAAAGAUUUAGUAGGUCUGGUACUGCACAAGGAGCAUACCAAGCCCUGUAUUCAACAUACCAUAGACGAGGAAUAUUCAGUUAUUUUUUGUCAAGGUUCAAAUUUCUUGGUGAAGUUAUAGUCAAAGUCCAGUCUGCAGAGAAAAUAAUAAAAAUGUUGGGGUCUAUACAAACGCAUCUGGCAGUCUGUAUUUGGUCCGUGGUCCGCCUGCUUGACUACCUCUGCCCUAGACCCUUUGAACCCCCAGCCAAGAGAUGAUCAGAUGUUUUGUCCACCAAAUGACAGUUUUGAUGGCUUGGUUGAGAGUCUCAAUCAUCCAAUCAACAGAAUAGAGGGUGGAAGCCAAUUUUAGACUUCAGGUCUCUUGACAAAUAUGUAAAGCAACAAAAAUUCAGGACGGUGACUCUGGCAGCAAUAAUUCCUUCAUUAGAAGUAGGAGAUUGGUUUGCAGCUUUCAACCUACAAGAAACGUAUUGUCAUGUCUCUAUUCACCCUUUUCGUUUUCUAAUAACAAACACUGCCAAUACAAGGUGCUCCCUUUAGGCUUAUCUUCAGCACCAAGGAUAUUUUCAAAGAUUCUGGCAGUAGUUGCUGCUCACCUACGGCGUACUCAUUCUGCCAUCUUAGACAAUUGGUUAAUCAGGAGCGGAUCAUAUCAGGAAGUGUUGAUGUCAGUAAAGAUCAUGUGUUCCCAGUUUCACAGCCAGGACCUUGAGGAGCUCAGUGGUUUGAGCAUUGGCGUGCUAAACCCAGGGUUGUGAGUUCAAUCCUUGAGGGGGCCAUUUAGGGAACUGGGGCAAAAAUUGGGGAUUGGCCCUGCUUUGAGCAGGGGGUUGGACUAGAUGACCUCCUGAGGUCCCUUCCAACCCUGAUAUUCUAUGAUUCUAUGAAAUCAACCUUGAAAAGUCCAUUUUGACUCCACUACCAUGUCUAGAUUUCAUAGGAACUUUCUUGGAUGCGGUGACAGGCAGAGCAUAUCUACCAUUGAGCAGAUUUCUCACAUCUCAAAGAUUCAGCAUAUUCCUCAAGUAACAGAAAGAGAUUGACUUCAACUGCUGGGACACAUCAGCUUGUGUCACUGUAGUGCAGCAUGCCUGAUUCAACCUCCAAAUUCGACAGGGAUAGUUUCAGUUUGCAAACCAAGCAAACACAGUCUAGUCAGGUUACUGUCUGUUCUCCAGUGGGUUCUGCAAUCACUCAGUUGGUAUAAAGACCAGACCAAAACCUGUGUAGGUGUUCCGCUCUUGCAAAUUCCCCCUACUGGAGUCAUAAUAUCAGAUGCGUCACUUUUGGGUUGGGUGGGCACAUCCGGGACCUCAUAAGGUAUAAGGAAAGGGACAUUAUAAGAACAGCUUCUCCACAUCAGUCUUUUGGAAUUGAGAGCCAUCAAAAAUGCUUCCUUAUGCUUUCUACCGCUAAUCAAUUUGAAGUCAGUAAAGAUAAUGACAGACAGGCAUUCAUGUAUUAUGUCCGUUGUCAAGGAGGUGCACUUUUCCCAGCAGUCUGUGCGGUAGCAGUAGAACUCUGGAACUGGUGCAUAGCCAGCAACACAGUCAUCUCAGCUUCUUACUUCCCAGGUAUUCAGAACACCAUGGCAGAUGACCUCAGCAUACAUUUCUUUCUGUAUUACGAAUGGGAAUUGAAGAGUCCUCCGCAAGAUAGUCUUACCCUGGGGGUUCCCGCAGGUCAGUCUGUUUGCCAUAGCAGCCAACAGAAAAUGCAUCAGGUAUUGCUCCAUGAGAGGGCUCGAUCCUCAAUGCAUUGGAGGCAUGUUCCUCAUCUCAUAGACAAAAGGACUUCUCGGUCCAUAUCUACUGAUACCAUUAUUAUUAAAGGUUCUCAACAAGAUCGAGCCAGAGUCAUACUGAUCAUACCAAUGUGGCCAAGACAGGUCUGGUAUCCCUAUUUGAUCAGAUUCACUUCUUGCCCUUUGUGGAGGCUAUUGGGCAGUCCUUAUCUACUGACCCACGAUGCCAGUCCAUCACUUCACCCCAACCUGAAGAUCUUGAGGCUACAAGCAUGGUUCCCCAGUGGUUCUCAGUAAUAGCGGUACCCUGUUUGUCAGAGGUACAACAUGUUUUAUUAAAUAGUAGAAAAGAAUCUACAAGAAAUAACUUUAGAAAAUGGAAACAAUAUUAUCUUUGGUGUAACAUUCACCAGAUGUUGCCAACUCGCUCUCCUCUUCCCAGGGUAUUGAAUUCCCUAUUGGAACUGAAAACAUUGGGUCUUUCUCUAAAUUCCAUAACUUUUCACAUAUCCAUAGGGGUUUUUUCACUCUUCACUUACCCAGCUAUGGCAAGAUCUCUAAGGGGUUUAUUGAAUAUCUCCCCUACUCCAAGGUGGGACUUGAACCCAGUACUUACUUGCCUUAUGAAACACCCUUUUGAGCCACUGACUACAUCUUCUUUGGUAAAUUGAUCAACAAAGACAAUCUUCCUGAUAGUAAUAACUUCUGCCUGAAGGGUGAGAAAAUUGGGGGCCUUAAUGGCAGACACAACAUUUACAGUAUUCACCAGAGAGAAAGUGUCAGUACAGGCACUUCCAAGGUUUUUUUUACCUACAGUGUCCUCCGAAUUUUAUAUUAAUCAAACCAUUCCUCUCCCAGAUUUUCCCCCCAAAACCGCACUGGACUACUCAGGAAACCAUAUUUGAUAGCCUAGAUGUCAUGAGGGCGUUAGCCUUCUACAUAGUUAGGACCAAACCAUUUAGAAGAUCCCUUAGACUAUUUAUAUCCAUUGCAGACAAAAACAAGGAUUCAGUAACUUCAAAACAGGUUAUCAAAAUUGAUCUCCGGUUGUAUUAAGAUUUGGUAUGACAGAAGUCAUGUUCAACACCCUUCGAGAGUGGUAGCACGUUCCACAAAAGCAUUAUUUACAUCUAUAGCCUUACUUAAGGAUGUACCAAUUGCAGACAUCUGUAGGGUGGCAACUUGGUCAUCUGAUCAUAUUUUGUUUAAUCAUUAUGCUUUGGUAUCUGCAGCAAGAUCAGAUGCUGCUGUAGGCAAUACAGUUCUCUCUUCAUGUUGGACUCUGCUCCGAACCUGCCACCUCCUUUAAUGGGGGUACUGCUCACAAGUCACCUGAAGUGGAGAACCCCCAGAGACACUACUUGAUGAAGGAGAAAUUCUGAGGACACCUUAGGUAAAAAUCUUGGACGCUUUCUCACCUUGUACAAUAGCUGGAGUUUGAGAUGUUUGGUGCUACACUACCUGCCCUCCUUCCCCUCUGUUUUGGAGUCUCUGUUAUGGGUCUUGGUGGUGGAGAAGGAACUGAAGGUGGCUUACCUGUGCAGCCCCAUAGAACCUUGACACAGGGCACAAGGAUUUGUGGGGUACACAUGCAGGCUGAACGGUCACUGCUACCAGAAAUCUCUGAUCAAAGGUGCAGGGCACAAGCGAACCUGAAGUGGAGCACCAACAAGGGGACAUAUCUCAAAGAACUCCAGUUACUGCUCAAGAUGAGUAACCUCUCCCUCCUUCCUCUGCUAUGUGGCUGGUACAGGUGUGAGCUAUAUAAUUGAUUUGACACACUAAUACUUGAGUGUUAUAUUAAGAACUUCUUAUAUUUUGAAAGUGAAAUUUUGUUGAAUGCUAUAUACAGUACCAAAUAAUGCUUACAACAGUUCUGUACCUUUUGCGUGAAAUAUUUCAGUCUGGGUAACAGUUUUACAAAUAAUAGUUUAAUCUUUAAACUGGUAUCAGCUGAUCUGCACUUGGGUGGGAAGAGGGGAAACCAUGUAUUUUUGCCUCUUUCGGACCAUAAAUCAAGGGCUAGUGCUGGGGAACAUUGUUUUGCCAUGAAAGCACUUGACUUGGUCUGCCAAGGCAUAUUUAGGCAUGGUAAGUUGCUGUUGGUUGAAGGAUGAUUUUGUGGUGAAUGGCAUUAGACUGGGAGUCAAGAGACUUCUGUUCCCAGUUCUACCACUGACUUGCUGGUUAAUCUUGGGAAAAUCAGUCCUUUUGCUUCAGCUUUUGCCAGCUGUAAAAUGGGGAUAAAACUUCCACUUCGCUGUGUUGAGCCUUUUUUCAUAGACUGAUAGCUUUUAAGGUGAGAAUGGGCCAUUAUGGUUCUAGAAUUUCAUCAAGCCCAGUAAUUUGUGCUUGAACUAGAGUGUAUCUUUUGGAAGGUCAUCAAACAUGUCUGUAAAAUGCAUUGAGAUGCAUAAUAAUGUUACUAAUAUUACUGCUUUUCUUCUAUUAUCAGAACUUAAACUCACUUUAUUGCUAUCAUUGUGCUUUUCAGUCCUCAGUUAGGACUUGAUAUUAGUGAUUAUGUCUCAAACUCCAGAAACUAAAAACUAAGGGUCAGAUUUUUAAAAAUGGAUUUCAAAAGUUAUUCCUAAUUUAUAGUUAACAGUUUACACCUAUUUUAAAAAUAUUUCUAAAAUAGUGUGAACAUUGAUUUCUGGUUCUAAAGAUAGUGGCAAUUCUAUCAGAAUUGGUAUAGGAAAAAAAGCAAGAUGAGAAACUGUUGUGAUGUUACUCUGAUAGCUCACAGCUUGCCAGGCUGUAAAUGGAUGUGGCAUAAUAGUAAAUCUGAGAACCAGCCUCUUCUUUCUAAUGUUACGUGGGGCAUUAAAUUCUAGCCCUAAUAUUUCACAAGAUAUCCAGACUUCACUUUAUCACUUGUUCCUUGCUUUUAGUAGUGCUGUUUAGAUGAUGGUCCAAGGCUGAGUAUCAGUUGUCCCAGAUUUUGUACUAGUGCAGUUUUUGUCCCCGGGAAGUCUUAUGCAAACACAUGCCUCCAUCCCAACAAAAUAUGUAUGUUGACUAUUUAUUUGAAACAUCUAUAUUUAAUUUUUUCUGUUUGUUUUUUUAUAAGCUGUCGGGUAAGUCACAUCUAGAUAGACCUAUAAGAUGUAAAGCAUUUGUGGCGUAUGCUACCAUUUAUUAAAGUUGCUUGUGUAUUUUUUGUGGCUAUCUUGAAAUACUGGCUUAGUUCCUUGUUUCAGAUCAAAUUUAGAAUUUUUUUUCUUUCAAGAUUAUAAUAGAAGCUUUAAAUAGUUACUGUGUGCUUAUAUCAUGAUAAAGAAAUAAAUUCUUAUGAAAUGGAAGAGACUGCAUACGCUCGUGAAGGUAGUUCAGGACUUUACUGCAAUAAAAAUAAUUUAUUUCAAAAUAUAGGUCAACUGAGAUACGUAAAAUAAAAUUUGGUCUAAUUUUUUGACCUGUGUGAAUUGGUAUAAAUUAUACACCUGCUGCUAAAUUUGUUUCCUUUUGCCUGUUCUCCUUUUCAUGCAUAUAUGUAUGUAUUCUCAGUAUCUCUAUAGAUAUUUUAAUUUUAAAUUAAGGAUUUAAAAGAUGGGGGUUCUUUGAAUAAAACUUCUUGAUCUUUACAAAGACAUGCAACAUAGCCCUUCCUUGCCCUUCCCCCAGAACAUUCAUGUCAUGGUUUAAGAAGUUGUAGCCCUACAAAGACUUUUCAAAUCUGCUGUCAUUAUUUGGAAGAGGAUAUUAGAAUACUUACUUGAUACCUGCUGCAAAAUGACAGGUUAAAAUUAAAAUGCUAAAAUGCAGAUGAAGAUUGGUUUAAAAACAAAGUUCUACUCUGUCUUAAGAGUACAGAGGGUCAAGAUCCUGAAGCUUUUUUUUUACACGUUCAGGUUGGAAAAAGGCAGUAAUGAAGUCAUUCAUCUUCACCCUGAGGAAUACUUUGCAGAGCAUUGAGCAACAAACAUACUAUUCUCUUAGUGUGAAGGAGAUAGAGCUGAAGCAUGUCUCUCACUAUCAGCAUCCUCAAAAAAAAAAAAUCCAGCUCUUUUCAAAUAAAACAGUGCUCAAUCAACAGUGAUUUUUAACUUUUGAUUUAUGAUGUGGGGGCUAUAAGCACGGAAAAUACUGUUAGUACCUCUGUUUAUAGUAUUGAUAGCAGGGUUUUUAAGUUUGUAGACACUAUAACCCAAAAAGCUCUUUAUUCUGAUAUAAAACUUGUUAUAUGACUGAACUGCAUUUAUGGUGUUUCUCCAAGAUAGAGAAAUAACUGAGUUAAAUGACACCAUUAGUUCUUAUAAUCAGGAAAAGGAUGGGAGUUGUGUGGUAAAAUUAAUGGACAUUGCAGUAAAAUCAGCAAACUUGACACCCACUGAUAUACAAAGUCUGGAAUAAGUUGUUAUAUACUAUACUUCAAAGUAACACCCUGUAACCCCCAUAUUCAUCUUUUGUAUAUCAUUGUGAUAUUUCAUAAAAAGCAUGCCGUGUAAGAUACCAAAGCUGCUGAAACUCAUUGUUCUGUCAAACUGUGUGUAUUGCUAUUGUGUAUGAAGUUUGAGCUUUUGCUGUGUGGCUGAAAUAUGUUGAGAGUUUGGGAGUCGCCCACUGCUAGCUCUCCAGUGACUGAGGGUGGUGACCCACACCCAAGCUGCUAUUAAAACUACAAUUGAUCAGAAUGGUAAAUAAGAAAUCUACAAUUCAAUAAGAGACAGUUACCCAAGAACCACACAGUUAAGAUUGCUCAACUCUCUGACUCAGCAAGGCAUGCCUGGCCAGUUUCUUUUCAGGGACAUGGACUAAGAGUAUAAAAUAAGGGACAGUGACAUCAUGAGACAACCUCUCUCCUCCCCUACUUUCGCCGAAGGCAACAAGAAUUCUGGGAAGACAAAGACUGAGAAGGAAAUUCAGACUGUAUUAAGAACUGCAACCUACCUGCAACAUCCAGUGGGGUGAGAAAAGCAGAUUCAACUCUUGGUUAUGCUUUGUCUACACUACCACUUUUAUCAGUCAGGGGUGUGAAAAAAAAAACGACACCCCUGGCUGACACAGCUAAUGCGCCUCAGUGGGGGUGGUUUAAUUAUGCCAGCAGAAGAGCUUUCUUCUGCUGGCAAAGAGCGACUACAUGGGAGACUUUACAGUAGUACAGAUAUGCCACUGUAAAGUCUGUCAUGGAGAUGUAGUCUCAGUGUAAAAGUUUAGCAUUUAAAAUGUGUGUUUACUUUUUCUCUGACUUGUCUGCCAUGUAAAAAAUCUAUUUUCUGUAGUCAGUAAACUUGUUCUUCUUCGA